CGGGUGUUCUGCCAUGAUGGCGCGACCAGGCGAUGGCGACGAGGAAGCCGGUGUGAAUCCGGCACGGUACCGCCACUGUGAUCGGUGAGCGACUCCCGCGACUGGCCACUGCCCCACCAGGGGUGGGAAGGCCGGGGAGAAGCGUUGAUCCGACGAGUCAGGAGACUCGACCAUCGCUACCUCACCAUC
rnacentral:ncRNA from 2 species